UUUAGUUAUUAUUUCAUUAAUCUUCUGAUAGAGAAUGAAAAAUUUGUCAGUUUGAAAGAGUAGAAAGGAAAAAAAAAGGUUCAAUUUGGGGAGAUACCCUGAUGAUCAAGGAGAGAUGGGAUCUGUGAACCGUGGAAGAUAAGAACUCAGAAAACUAUGAAAUUCAUAACCCUGCUGAAUGAAUAAGGGGACCCAAUCCAUUGCUUUUUGACGUCAAUAAGACUGUGGCUCUUUCAAGGACGUGCAUUUAUCUUGUCAAUGUGGUCUAACCAACCAGCCUUGCUUCUCUGCUCUGAUCUCUCACAGGAUGUUCUUGAUGAUCUGGGAAAAAAGAAAAGGCCCACUGAAGUUCCUGGCUUCUAUGAUGUCAUGUGGCAUUCAACUCUUUAAACUAAAUCUGUAUAAUGAAAGCAAAUUUUCCUUUUCAAGAGCCUGGAAAUGCAUCACUUCACUAAAAAAGUACCUUUUUUGUGUGUGAUAUGGAGUAUACAAACUGAUCCGUUGGAACGCAAAAUUAUAACGUACAGAUUUAUGCAAGAGGGAUGACUGCAAAGUGCGUUGCAUGAGUAGUGUAAGAAGCUGAAAAUUGCUGCUGUUGUAGCUGUCAUAGACAUGUUAUUUUCUUUGGUAUGUGUGGAGUUUUUGCUGUCAGGCUUUUAUCCUGCAGAUUGUUUGUGCUGCACCUCUCUUCCUGCUUAAAAUAGAAAAUCAGUCACUGAACCUGGAUACUAUUAAGUGUUCUUAGAAUAGUUCUUAACUAACUUGGUUGAUUUGUGCUUUCUGAUGAAAGAACAUUUGGUUGUUU
rnacentral:lncRNA from 1 species